AGCGAACGCUGGCGGCAGGCCUAACACAUGCAAGUCGAACGAACCUUUCGGGGUUAGUGGCGGACGGGUGAGUAACACGUGGGAACGUGCCUUUAGGUUCGGAAUAACUCAGGGAAACUUGUGCUAAUACCGAAUGUGCCCUUCGGGGGAAAGAUUAAUCGCCUUUAGAGCGGCCCGCGUAUGAUUAGCUAGUUGGUUGAGGUAAUGGCUCACCAAGGCGACGAUCAGUAGCUGGUCUGAGAGGAUGAUCAGCCACAUUGGGACUGAGACACGGCCCAAACUCCUACGGGAGGCAGCAGUGGGGAAUCUUGCGCAAUGGGCGAAAGCCUGACGCAGCCAUGCCGCGUGAAUGAUGAAGGUCUUAGGAUUGUAAAAUUCUUUCACCGGGGACGAUAAUGACGGUACCCGGAGAAGAAGCCCCGGCUAACUUCGUG
rnacentral:rRNA from 1 species